UACGUAGGGUGCGAGCGUUAAUCGGAAUUACUGGGCGUAAAGUGUGCGCAGGCGGCGCCGCAAGUCGAGUGUGAAAGCCCCCGGCUCAACUGGGGAGGGUCACUCGAUACUGAUCGACUUGAAGGCAGGAGAGGGAAGCGGAAUUCCCGGUGUAGCGGUGGAAUGCGCAGAUAUCAGGAGGAACACCAAUAGCGAAGGCAGCUCGCUGGGACGGUACUGACACUGAGGCGCGAAAGCGUGGGGAGCGAACAGG
rnacentral:rRNA from 1 species